rnacentral:rRNA from 1 species
GACGAACGCUGGCGGCGUGCUUAACACAUGCGAGUCGAACGCUGAAGCUCAGCUUGCUGGGUGGAUGAGUGGCGAACGGGUGAGUAACACGUGAGUAACCUGCCCUCUUCUUUGGGAUAACGCCCGGAAACGGGUGCUAAUACUGGAUAUUCACUGAUUCUCGCAUGGGGGUUGGUGGAAAGGUUUUUUCUGGUGGGGGAUGGGCUCGCGGCCUAUCAGCUUGUUGGUGGGGUGAUGGCCUACCAAGGCUUUGACGGGUAGCCGGCCUGAGAGGGUGACCGGGUACAUUGGGAGUGAGAUACGGCCCAGACUCCUACGGGGGGCAGCAGUGGGGAAUAGUGCACAAUGGGCGAAAGCCUGAGGCAGCGACGCCGCGGGAGGGAUGGAGGCCUUCGGGUUGUAAACCUCUUUCGCUCAUGGUCAAGCCGCAGCUUUGGGUUGUGGUGAGGGUAGUGGGUAAAGAAGCGCCGGCUAACUACGUG